AUUUGCAGUUGGCAUGCACCUUGACUUUUGAAGCUGUACAUGCUUCAUCUUGUGACUCUGGGAUCAACCAUCCAAAUCAGUAUUUCAUUGACAGCCAAAAGAUACUGCAGGCAAAGGUCACCAACAGCACUACUGUGAAGAAUGAAACGACUUGACAUUAUUUGGCACUCAGCAGCAUUCAGAUUUUUCCUAUAUAAGCCCCCACGAAAGCAAAUACAUUUGGGUGUUUUCAUCUCAACAGCAGGUAAAGAGACGAAAUUCUGAGUAAGCACCACGUAGUGGCACUUGGACAUUCCCCACCUAUGUCUCCAAUCAAAGUGGUAUGGUUAUUUUGUUAUUUUCCAUUUAUAUUAUGCUCAAAAAAGGAUGAAUUUCUGCACACAUGCACCUUUUUUAGAGUAUAUAGUCUUUAGUGUAAUUCCAAGUCUUGUUCUGACAAACAAAAACAAAAAUAACAGGGAAAAAUAUGGGAAAAUAGCAGACCUUAACCACGAAUUCUGUUUCUUAGGUCAUCAUUCUUGGUAAGGAAGUUUGUUAGUGUAUAGGAGGAAUAUUAGGUGGUUUAAUCAGGUCAUAUGUUUGAGCUGAAAGUACUUUAUAUGUAAAACUCAUGUAUUGCAUUUACAUCCCCUUGUUUAUUGGGGUUUUGCCACAUCUAUUAUUUGACUUAAAACCAGGUCUAUUUACUUCCA